GCAUUCGUAGGUCAGUGGAAGAAUUCUCAUCUUCCAUGUGGGAGACGUGGGUUUGAUUCCCAGCCGAUGCA
rnacentral:tRNA from 1 species